rnacentral:sRNA from 1 species
AAGUAACGUCCUGCCAAACCCGU